rnacentral:lncRNA from 1 species
GACAAUUCUUAUUUUCCCCACUAAAAGAGAAAUAUUUUUAAAUAAAAAUGGGUGGUGACUGUCAAAAUAUCACACUCAUUAUUACUUAUUCGGUUUUCUCUACAAUCAAAAUAUAUGUAUAUUUUUGCGCAACAAUUUUGAUUUAUUGCAUAUAAUAUCUUGCUCAAAGAUGUUAUUAUAUGUGAUGUUUUGAAAAAUGGCAUAAGACAGUUAACGAGUUUACCUUGGUUUAGAAAUUUCCUUUUGCCCAAAGGUGUUGGUAUUUCGAAAACCAAUGUGAUUUUGUUAACUAGUUAUAUGAUGUGUUUUAAGAAUACCUUAUAGCACGCUAUAUUGUCGGCCCAAAGGUAGUCAUAAUGAUGCAUCUAGGCUCUUACAGUAAUAAAAUUCAUAUGGUUUUGAUUUAAAUUACGGAUUAUCUAAUUAAGAGCCCCAUAUUAAUUAGUUGGAUAUUACAUCAUCCAUUUGAUUGCAUGCAUUACGUUUGGAUGAUAUUAACAGUGAUAUUUUAUGUUUCCACAGUUUAUAAUGCCUCAUCUCUUUCGAAUCAAUUGUCUGCUAUUGAAACCUUAACUGGGAAUAAUUAUGUGAGAUGGAAACGAGACGUAGAAAUAUCACUUGGUCUUUUGGGCUUGGAUUUUGCAAUGGAGAAAAAGCUUGAGAAACCUACAGAUAAGAGUAUCGUUGAAUAUGUAGCUGAGUAUGAAAAGUGAGAAAGAGUUAACAAACUCUGUUUGAAAAUCAUUAAGCGAUAGAUAUUUGAUUCUAUUCAAGGUGUCAUCCCCGAUAAUGAAAAUGUCAAAAAUUUUAUGGAUGCCGUAGGAGAAAAAUUUAUUGAGUCUGAUAAAGCUGAAACUGGGGAUUUGAUGGAUAAAUUGAUGAGCAUGAAAUAUAAUGGUACAAGUAGUGUUAGGGAGCAUGUCAUAAAAAAUUAUAAAUAUAUCAUCUAAGUUCAAGGCUCUUGACAUUCCCAUUGCUAAACCUUUUUUAGUCGAUCAUGUUUUGAAUAGCCUUCCUAGCAAGUUUAAUUAGCUUAAGGUUGAUUACAAUGCUUAGUGAGAUAAAUGGAAUUUGAAUGACCUCAUAGCAGUGUGUGCCCAAGAAGAGAAUAGGAUGCGUCGUAAAACUGUUGAAAUUGUACGAUUAACUUUUCAGCCAUCACAGAAUAAGGGGCCUUCUCAUAACCAUAAACCUAAGUUUUGUAAGGGUAAUAAGUCCCACCAAAAUCAGCAGAAUAAAAAUUUUACUGGUCUCAAAGGAGUUAUAAAGAAAAAUGAUCAAUGCAAGUUUUGUAAAAAGAAAGGGUCACUAGCAGAAAUUCUGUUUUAAGUUCAAAACUUGGUUGAAAAAGAAGAAGAGUUCUCCAGGUAUUCCCUUGACCUUAGUUUGUUUUGAGUCUUCUUUAGUAGAUGUGCCUUUGAAUUCUUGAUGGUUAGACGCGGGAGCUAGUAUUCAUAUUGUGAAUUCCUUGCAGGGGUUCACAAGCAAACGGAGGCCAAGUGGGAAUGAAGUAAGUUUGAGAGUUACAAAUGGAGUUCAAGUGAAGGUUGAAUUUAUAGGAGUAGUGAAGUUGACUUUAGAGUCUGGCUUUUAUCUUGUUUUGGAAAAUAUAGUUUAUGUACAGCAAAUGAGACGGAAUUUAAUUUCCAUAUCGAAACUUGAUGCUUGUGGUUUUACAUUUAAUUUUGGUAAUGGAAUGGUUGAGUUAUUUAAUGAUUCUCAUUUGAUUGGGAAUGACAUUUUAUGUAAUGGUUUAUAUAAAUUAUCUUUGGCUCCUCUUGGUUAUGUCUCAUGUGUUACCAAUGUAUCAAAAAAAAUGACUAAAUUGGUAAAUCAUCCUCUAUGAUGUGGCAUAAGCGUUUGGGUCAUAUUUCUAUUGAUAGAAUGAAAAGAUUAGUAAAAGUUGAGAUACUUCCCUACUUAGACUUCUCU